CUACGAUUGUUUCUUAUUAGUGCUUCUGUCUGCGUGUCUGUCUGUCCGUUCGUUCGUUCGUCCUUCCGUCCGUCCGUCCGUCCGCGUAAACAACGACGAAGAUAAAAACAAGAAAAAUAAGAAAAAGAAAAGCAACAAGGACAAACAAACCAUUCCUACUGCUCAUGAAGGAAAAGUCCAACAAGACAAAUCGCACGACGAUAAAAAUUCAAUCUCUAUGGAAACCGGUGUUGGUUCUAACCACUGAGCUAUACUAUAUUACUGGAGGACCUGCUCGGGAUAAAAAAGUGUCGCCAAAAACAUGGCGGAUCUUACGCCAUUUCCAUGACAACACUUACUUUAUUUUCAUGGUAAUUGCCACUGACCAACCGCGAUCCUAAGCUUCCGACGAUGUCCUUAACCCCCCUGGUUUUUGGGAAAAAAAUAUUUGAUUCAAUAGAGAUACAAAGUUUUCUGUUGUUUUUGAGCUAAAAAAUCUUAAUAUUUCCCUCGAACAUCACUUGUUUUACAACGCGGAGCGAGGGUACGGGUUUGCCUCGCUUGUGGAUGCAGCAUUUUACUACAAAGAAAGACUAAUUUUUCAGGUAAGAUUCACGAAACUUUUUUAUAACUUUCUGGACGGCUAGACCCUUUAUAUUAUGUCAAAAACUCAUCAUCCUAAUAUAUACAGCAAAUAUUUCAAUAGGGGACAUAAAAGUAUUGUUAACGAUUAAACAUUGUGUACAUGAAAUUAAUAUGUUGUUUUGUGUCAGCACUGACCUUUGUGGUUUUAUUGCCAGUUUUUAAUUUAUACUAAAAAUUGUGGUUGUUUACAUGUUCAUAUAUUUUAAAACGUUUAUUAAAUAUGGUGUGAAAUUUAUAUACUUGCCCAUCACAGUGCAGAAUUAGUAUAUAUAGAUAAGCACAAGACCAGAGAGAGUUGAGUCAUAGAGGAGGCCCACCUACAUGUGACAAUGCAUGUGCCCUAGUGUCCUGAUGACUGAUGAGCCCUAAAGACUGUAUUAUUUUACUCUGUCUAAUGCCAGACCAUUCUAAGGGGAUUGAGACUGCUCCCUGCUGUCACACAGUGGGUUAAUUUAAUACACUAUCUGUAAAUGAGCAGCCCCUGAGAUAUAUAGUCAGCCCAUUGAGCUGCAAUGAACCCUGGCUACUUUCUUAUUUUACUCAGUCAAUCUGUGAGAUUAAAUGCAGAUGUUUUACCCGUCAAGGGAAGAGUCUUAAAAAUAGAUAUCAUUUUGCCUUUGUCUGCUCAGAACUAUAUAAAACUAUAUAUAGUUUUACUUACACAGCUUGUGGGCAACACAAAUGUUGCCCACAAGCUGCCAGGAUUUAAGUGAGUCACUGAUCAUACACUAAUCAUGAGGUAAAUUCAGAAUGCUACAACAUUUCUAACAAGGGCGGAUUUUAGGAGGGGUAGAAAAAUUUUUGGUGGGGUGCAAGCGCGCACCACUCAGUGAGCUUUGGCAGGGGUUAGACGUUUGGGUUAAAGCCUUUCACACAAAAUGGGAAGCUAGGAUAAAGCAAAAUUUUGGUGGGGUUGAACACUUUAUUACAGGGGUUUAACCCCCCCCCCCAAGUAAAUCCACCCAUGAUUUCUAACAUUGGGAAUAGUGAUGUCCGAUUGGCCAUGACACAGCCUGUAAGAAAUUAUGAUGAAAUUUGCUCAUACUGUAAUAGGUUUGACAUAUUUUAUCAGUUAGUUAGGAAUGUAACAAUUGCAUUAUUAUUACUGAAUAUAAUAUUUUUAUUACUGAAUAUUGACACGACAUUUAAUUUUGAAGCUCGGCUCAAUGGUCUUGGUAAAAACAGAUCAUGUAAUUGCACUCGCCCCUUGACUAGUAAAAUUGUCUGGCAUUAGGUAGAUUAAAAUAAUACAGUAAGGCAUAUCAAGACACAUUACCACUUGUGAAGGGUAAUUAACAUAUGUGUACUGUAUAUGAUAUUUUUGUGAUGUAAAGAUGUAUAAUGUAUCAUGAUAAUAAUGUCAUCUUUUAUUUUGCAGAAAUGAUAUGCAUGUUUAAUAUACACAAGAGAUGGCACUGCAGCAUCAACAGGCAGAAAAACAUGCAGAACAACAAGAUGAAUUAGUUAAUUAUAAUACCAUGCAUAACAUAAAUAAUUAUAUGAUUAUGAUAACUUUAUUGAAG
rnacentral:lncRNA from 1 species